CUACUGGAGCGGACUCUAAUAAACAAUAAAUUAAAUAUAAAAAAACUUUUUGUUAAGAGCCAAUUUUUUUUCCCAAUUUUUCAUUUUCCCACUUUUUUCUUUUCAUUCCCUAUUUCAGCAAUGAGCAAUAAUAUAUCAUUUGAUAUAUUUUUGCUUUUCUUUCUCAAAUACACAAAAAGAAGUGACAAAAAAAUACAGAAAAAGAAGAAAACAACCCUAAUCCUCCAACAAUGGGUAAACGGAAUUGAAUUCGUCAGAAUGGGUGAACCAAAUUCGUCUCAACAACCGUAAUCCUCCGAAUUCGUCCCCGUCGAAGAACAAUCCGCUGUGGAAGAAGAAAACCCUUCCAUCAACCCUAAUCCGUGAAGAACAACCUCAAUCACUCCGCCGUUAUUAUCCAUCGUUCUCGUGGUUACAAGGGUUCUAGCUAUUGCUAUUGCGUGACCUAAUUUGACUUUCUUAUUUGUUCGGAUUUCACGCUUUCAGUUUCGAUUUGUUCCGUAUUGCACGCUUUCAGGUUUCAGUUUGAUUCCUUUGCAUAUGUUAAAAGGCUAUAGUGGAAGCAGCUGAUACUGAAUUCAUCAUACUUGGCCAGCGAAUUUAUUAAAUUACUUGGCCUUAAGGACUUUAUCUUGAGGAGAUCAUUAAGUGGUAACAGAAACAAUCAGUUGCAUUGGCUACUCAGCACACUACAAGUAAAUUGUAGCAACUGGCAUGGUUGGUAAUGACCUUCUCAAUUUGAGCAUGAGAAAAUGAGUUCUGAGACUGUAGCUGGCAUAUUUGGUUAAGGGAGUUCAAAGAAGCUACCAAGGUUGGUGUACUUUGGACCUUAAACACAGAGAGGUUGCUCGGUACAAGUCUGUUGUGCAGGUUGUUGGCACUGUGCAGGGACAUAAUAUAUCUGGAAAGGAUCAGCGUGUUCAUUGCUCCAUAAAUAUCAACACAGAGACUGGAAAGUCUGUUUGGCCAGUAGUUGUAUCUCCUUUCUGCACUAGUGUUUGUGGGAUAUUUUGGUGGAUUAUUUAUUAGUGGAUUAUAUUUUCAUGGAUGUAGACCUUUUUUGUUGACAUUAUAUAUGGUUAUAUGGUAUAAAUAGAAGGUCCAGUAAAAAACUAUUUAAUUUAU